rnacentral:misc_RNA from 1 species
GAAAUGCGAUAAGUAAUGUGAAUUGCAGAAUUCCGUGAAUCAUCGAAUCUUUGAACGCACAUUGCGCCCUCUGGUAUUCCGGGGGGCAUGCCUGUCCGAGCGUCAUUGCGAACCCCUCAAGCACGGCUUGUGUGAUGGGCCCUCCCGCGUCUUGGUCGUCAAGACGGGCCCGAAAUGCAGUGGCGGCUUCGCGGUUAUCCGAUCAGCCAGAGCGUAUGGGGACUUUCUCUCUGUCACACGCCCGCGGCGCAGACCGACGCCUGUCGACCUUUAUUCAUCUUUUUCUCGGUUGACCUCGGAUCAGGUAGGGAUACCCGCUGAACUUAAGC